rnacentral:rRNA from 1 species
UACGGGGGGAGCAAGCGUUGUUCGGAUUUACUGGGCGUAAAGGGCGCGUAGGCGGCGUGACAAGUCACUUGUGAAAUCUCCGGGCUUAACUCGGAACGGUCAAGUGAUACUGUCGUGCUAGAGUACAGAAGGGGCAACUGGAAUUCUCGGGUGUAGCGGUGAAAUGCGUAGAUAUCGAGAGGAACACCUGCGGCGAAGGCGGGUUGCUGGGCUGAUACUGACGCUGAGGCGCGAAAGCUAGGGGAGCGAACGGG